UACGUAGGGGCUAGCGUUAUCCGGAAUUACUGGGCGUAAAGGGUGCGUAGGCGGUCUUUCAAGCCAGAAGUGAAAGGCUACGGCUCAACCGUAGUAAGCCUUUGAAACUGGGAAACUUGAGUGCAGGAGAGGAGAGUGGAAUUCCUAGUGUAGCGGUGAAAUGCGUAGAUAUUAGGAGGAACACCAGUUGCGAAGGCGGCUCUCUGGACUGUAACUGACACUGAGGCACGAAAGCGUGGGGAGCAAACAGGAUUAGAUACCCGCGUAGUCCCUGAG
rnacentral:rRNA from 1 species